rnacentral:sRNA from 1 species
GGAAACUUUUACAUUUAGCUACAAAAUUAUAAGGAUGAAAAAGAGUAAUGGAAAAUAGUACUGAUGGAGUUAGAGGUCUAAAAUUUGGCAUUUCCAGUACUAUCUUGGAAAAUGUUUGCAAC